rnacentral:rRNA from 1 species
UGAGCAACCUGCCCUUGACUCCGGAAUAACAGCUGGAAACAGCUGCUAAUACCGGAUACGACCUCCGAUGGCAUCAUCUGGAGGUGGAAAGCUCCGGCGGUCAAGGAUGGGCUCGCGGCCUAUCAGCUUGUUGGUGAGGUAACGGCUCACCAAGGCUACGACGGGUAGCCGGCCUGAGAGGGUCGACCGACGACCACUACGGUAACGGUACGUAGGAACGUAACCCGGACCCCGGGACCCCGAACGUACCCCGUUACGGGUAACCGGGGGACGG